GGGGACGUAGCUCAAUUGGCAGAGCGUCGCGUUCGCAAUGCGAAGGUCGUGGGUUCGACUCCCAUCGUCUCCACCA
rnacentral:tRNA from 3 species